rnacentral:tRNA from 1 species
AGCUGUGUGGCUCAGUGUAAAGAGCAAGGGCUGGGGACUCAGAGUCAUGGGUUCAAAUCCCAGCUCAGCUG